rnacentral:rRNA from 1 species
UCCGGCAGCCAUAUCACCCUGUAGCCCAAGACUGGUUGCCAACUGAAGCUAAGCAGGGCUGAGCCUGGUCAGUACCUGGAUGGGAGACCUCCUGGGAAAACUAGGUUGCUGCUGGAA